rnacentral:rRNA from 3 species
UGGCGGCAGGCCUAACACAUGCAAGUCGAACGGUAACAGGAAGCAGCUUGCUGCUUUGCUGACGAGUGGCGGACGGGUGAGUAAUGUCUGGGAAACUGCCUGAUGGAGGGGGAUAACUACUGGAAACGGUGGCUAAUACCGCAUAACGUCGCAAGACCAAAGAGGGGGACCUUCGGGCCUCUUGCCAUCAGAUGUGCCCAGAUGGGAUUAGCUUGUUGGUGAGGUAACGGCUCACCAAGGCGACGAUCCCUAGCUGGUCUGAGAGGAUGACCAGCCACACUGGAACUGAGACACGGUCCAGACUCCUACGGGAGGCAGCAGUGGGGAAUAUUGCACAAUGGGCGCAAGCCUGAUGCAGCCAUGCCGCGUGUAUGAAGAAGGCCUUCGGGUUGUAAAGUACUUUCAGCGGGGAGGAAGGUGUUGUGGUUAAUAACCGCAGCAAUUGACGUUACCCGCAGAAGAAGCACCGGCUAACUCCGUGCCAGCAGCCGCGGUAAUACGGAGGGUGCAAGCGUUAAUCGGAAUUACUGGGCGUAAAGCGCACGCAGGCGGUCUGUCAAGUCGGAUGUGAAAUCCCCGGGCUCAACCUGGGAACUGCAUUCGAAACUGGCAGGCUUGAGUCUUGUAGAGGGGGGUAGAAUUCCAGGUGUAGCGGUGAAAUGCGUAGAGAUCUGGAGGAAUACCGGUGGCGAAGGCGGCCCCCUGGACAAAGACUGACGCUCAGGUGCGAAAGCGUGGGGAGCAAACAGGAUUAGAUACCCUGGUAGUCCACGCCGUAAACGAUGUCUACUUGGAGGUUGUGCCCUUGAGGCGUGGCUUCCGGAGCUAACGCGUUAAGUAGACCGCCUGGGGAGUACGGCCGCAAGGUUAAAACUCAAAUGAAUUGACGGGGGCCCGCACAAGCGGUGGAGCAUGUGGUUUAAUUCGAUGCAACGCGAAGAACCUUACCUGGUCUUGACAUCCACAGAAGAAUCCAGAGAUGGAUUUGUGCCUUCGGGAACUGUGAGACAGGUGCUGCAUGGCUGUCGUCAGCUCGUGUUGUGAAAUGUUGGGUUAAGUCCCGCAACGAGCGCAACCCUUAUCCUUUGUUGCCAGCGGUUAGGCCGGGAACUCAAAGGAGACUGCCAGUGAUAAACUGGAGGAAGGUGGGGAUGACGUCAAGUCAUCAUGGCCCUUACGACCAGGGCUACACACGUGCUACAAUGGCGCAUACAAAGAGAAGCGACCUCGCGAGAGCAAGCGGACCUCAUAAAGUGCGUCGUAGUCCGGAUUGGAGUCUGCAACUCGACUCCAUGAAGUCGGAAUCGCUAGUAAUCGUGGAUCAGAAUGCCACGGUGAAUACGUUCCCGGGCCUUGUACACACCGCCCGUCACACCAUGGGAGUGGGUUGCAAAAGAAGUAGGUAGCUUAACCUUCGGGAGGGCGCUUACCACUUUGUGAUUCAUGACUGGGGUGAAGUCGUAACAAGGUAACCGUAGGGGAACCUGCGGUUGGA